rnacentral:rRNA from 1 species
ACGGCCGUACCAUGCUGAAUAUACCGGUUCUCGUUAGAUCACCGAAGUCAAGCAUCAUUGGGCGCGGUCAGUACUUGGGUGGGUGACCACCUGGAAACACCGCGUGCCGUU